rnacentral:rRNA from 1 species
UACGGAGGGUGCAAGCGUUAUCCGGAUUCACUGGGUUUAAAGGGUGCGUAGGUGGGCAGGUAAGUCAGUGGUGAAAUCUCCGGGCUUAACCCGGAAACUGCCAUUGAUACUAUUUGUCUUGAAUACUGUGGAGGUCAGCGGAAUAUGUCAUGUAGCGGUGAAAUGCUUAGAUAUGACAUAGAACACCAAUUGCGAAGGCAGCUGGCUACACGAGUAUUGACACUGAGGCACGGAAAGCG